AGGUGAGGAUAAUCCUAGUACUGCAGAUGAGAAGUACGAAAAUGGCCCAUCAGUAAGAGAUAGUGGUAUCGACAGAGAGCUUCGAGCAAAAGAUGAUGCUUCUGAAGCUGCUGAUGAAGCUGGAGGACUUGAUCUUGACAAGUCAGAGGAGCAAGCUGAUGAAAAUGGAAAUGAUGAAACUUGCGAAGAAAUGGAAGACAUAAAUAUGGACAAAGAGGAUGCAUAUGCAGAUCCUACUGGAUUGAAGCUUGAUGAACAUGAGCAAGGUCCUGAAGAUGAUUGUAAUAUGGAUGAACCUGGGACUGCUGAACCAAUGAUCGAAGAUGAUUUGGACCAGCAAGGCAAUCCUGCUGAUGAAAAUGAGG
rnacentral:misc_RNA from 1 species